rnacentral:rRNA from 1 species
AUGUCGGCUCAUCACAUCCUGGGGCUGAAGUAGGUCCCAAGGGUAUGGCUGUUCGCCAUUUAAAGUGGUACGCGAGCUGGGUUUAGAACGUCGUGAGACAGUUCGGUCCCUAUCUGCCGUGGGCGCUGGAGAAUUGAGGGGGGCUGCUCCUAGUACGAGAGGACCGGAGUGGACGCAUCACUGGUGUUCGGGUUGUCAUGCCAAUGGCACUGCCCGGUAGCUAAAUGCGGAAGAGAUAAGUGCUGAAAGCAUCUAAGCACGAAACUUGCCCCGAGAUGAGUUCUCCCUGAGACUAUAAGUCUCCUGAAGGAACGUUGAAGACGACGACGUUGAUAGGUCAGGUGUGUAAGCGCAGCGAUGCGUUGAGCUAACCGAUACUAAUGAACCGUGAGGCUUAACCUU